rnacentral:rRNA from 1 species
CGGGUAGGCAGCAGUGGGGAAUCUUAGACAAUGGGGGCAACCCUGAUCUAGCCAUGCCGCGUGAGUGAUGAAGGCCUUAGGGUCGUAAAGCUCUUUCGCCUGUGAUGACAAUGACAGUAGCAGGUAAAGAAACCCCGGCUAACUCCGUGCCAGCAGCCGCGGUAAUA